AUACGUAUGUCGCAAGCGUUAUCCGGAUUUAUUGGGCGUAAAGCGCGUCUAGGCGGCUUAGUAAGUCUGAUGUGAAAAUGCGGGGCUCAACCCCGUAUUGCGUUGGAAACUGCUAAACUAGAGUACUGGAGAGGUAGGCGGAACUACAAGUGUAGAGGGGAAAUUCGUAGAUAUUUGUAGGAAUGCCGAUGGGGAAGCCAGCCUACUGGACAGAUACUGACGCUAAAGCGCGAAAGCGUGGGUAGCAAACAGGAUUAGAUACCCUGGUAGUCCACGCCGUAAACGAUGAUUACUAGGUGUUGGGGGUCGAACCUCAGCGCCCAAGCUAACGCGAUAAGUAAUCCGCCUGGGGAGUACGUACGCAAGUAUGAAACUCAAAUGAAUUGGCGGGG
rnacentral:rRNA from 1 species